rnacentral:rRNA from 1 species
AGUCAACGACCGGCGUGAGACUGAUGAAGGUUCUUCGGAUCGUAAAGCUCUGUUGUGUAGGGAAGAACAAGUACCGGAGUAACUGCCGGUACCUUGACGGUACCUCAUUAGAAAGCCACGGCUAACUACGUG